rnacentral:rRNA from 1 species
UGGCGGCGUGCUUACACAUGCAAGUCGAGCGAAGCGCUUAAGAUAGCUUGCUAUUUUUAGUGACUGAGCGGCGAACGGGUGAGUAACACGUGGGUAAUCUGCCUGGAAGUCUGGGAUAACAGUUGGAAACGGCUGCUAAUACCGGAUGACAUUGCAGCUGUAGAGGCUGUAAUCAAAGCGUUAUGUAGCGCUUCCAGAUGAGCCCGCGUCCCAUUAGUUAGUUGGUGGGGUAAUGGCCUACCAAGACCACAAUGGGUAGCCGGUCUGAGAGGAUGUACGGCCACACUGGGACUGAGAUACGGCCCAGACUCCUACGGGAGGCAGCAGUGGGGAAUAUUGCGCAAUGGGGGAAACCCUGACGCAGCGACGCCGCGUGGACGAUGAAGGCCUUCGGGUUGUAAAGUCCUGUUCUGGGGGAAGAAACCUUAAGGGUCCAAUAAACCCUUAAGCUGACGGUACCCCAAGAGAAAGCUCCGGCUAAUUAUGUGCCAGCAGCCGCGGUAAUACAUAAGGAGCAAGCGUUAUCCGGAAUUAUUGGGCGUAAAGAGCUCGUAGGCGGUCUUGAAAGUCAGGUGUGAAAUUAUCAGGCUCACCUGAUAAGGUCAUCUGAAACUUUAAGACUUGAGGAUAGAAGAGGAAAGUGGAAUUCCCGGUGUAGCGGUGAAAUGCGUAAAUAUCGGGAGGAAUACCAGUGGCGAAGGCGGCUUUCUGGUCUAUUUCUGAC